rnacentral:rRNA from 1 species
AUUGGAGGAAAGCAGGGGAUCGCAAGACCUUGCGCUAUUAGAUGAGCCUGCGUCCGAUUAGCUAGUUGGUGAGGUAACGGCUCACCAAGGCAACGAUCGGUAACUGGUUUGAGAGAACGACCAGUCACACUGGGACUGAGACACGGCCCAGACUCCUACGGGAGGCAGCAGUGGGGAAUUUUGGACAAUGGGGGAAACCCUGAUCCAGCCAUGCCGCGUGAGUGAAGAAGGCCUUCGGGUUGUAAAGCUCUUUCAGCCGGAACGAAAAGGUUACGGUUAAUACCCGUGACUAAUGACGGUACCGGAAGAAGAAGCACCGGCUAACUACGUGCCAGCAGCCGCGGUAAUACGUAGGGUGCGAGCGUUAAUCGGAAUUACUGGGCGUAAAGCGUGCGCAGGCGGUUUUGUAAGUCAGAUGUGAAAUCCCCGGGCUCAACCUGGGAACUGCGUUUGAAACUACAAGGCUAGAAU